rnacentral:rRNA from 1 species
GAUGAACGCUAGCUACAGGCUUAACACAUGCAAGUCGAGGGGCAGCGGGAUUGAAGCUUGCUUCAAUUGCCGGCGACCGGCGCACGGGUGAGUAACGCGUAUCCAACCUUCCGUACACUCAGGGAUAGCCUUUCGAAAGAAAGAUUAAUACCUGAUGGUAUGAUGAGAUUGCAUGAUAGCAUCAUUAAAGAUUUAUCGGUGUACGAUGGGGAUGCGUUCCAUUAGGUAGUAGGCGGGGUAACGGCCCACCUAGCCGACGAUGGAUAGGGGUUCUGAGAGGAAGGUCCCCCCACGAUUGGAACUGAGACACGGUCCAAACUCCUACGGGAGGCAGCAGUGAGGAAUAUUGGUCAAUGGACGAGAGUCUGAACCAGCCAAGUAGCGUGAAGGAUGAAGGUCCUACGGAUUGUAAAACUUCUUUAUAAGGGAUAAACCCUCCACGUGUGGAGCUUGUAUGUACCUUAUGAAUAAGCAUCGGCUAACUCCGUGCCAGCAGCCG